rnacentral:rRNA from 1 species
UACGUAGGGUGCAAGCGUUAAUCGGAAUUACUGGGCGUAAAGCGUGCGCAGGCGGUUGUGUAAGACAGAUGUGAAAUCCCCGGGCUCAACCUGGGAACUGCAUUUGUGACUGCACAGCUGGAGUGCGGCAGAGGGGGAUGGAAUUCCGCGUGUAGCAGUGAAAUGCGUAGAUAUGCGGAGGAACACCGAUGGCGAAGGCAAUCCCCUGGGCCUGCACUGACGCUCAUGCACGAAAGCGUGGGGAGCAA